GUCCACGCCGUAAACGAUGGAUACUAGCUGUUGGGUGCAAACUCAGUGGCUAAGCGAAAGUGAUAAGUAUCCCACCUGGGGAGUACGUUCGCAAGAAUGAAACUCAAAGUAAUUGACGGGGGCCCCGCACAAGCGGUUGAGCAUGUGGUUUAAUUCGAUGAUACGCGAGGAACCUUACCAAGGCUUAAAUGUAGAUUGACCGUUUUGGAAACAGACUUUUCGCAAGACAAUUUACAAGGUGCUGCAUGGUUGUCGU
rnacentral:rRNA from 1 species